GCCAUCUUGACUCCUCCCCUCCAGACAGCUGCUUUGGACGGCAUUGGAAGAUCUGUAAAAAGGAAUGAGCAGGCUUUGAGAAGCUAACUGUCCACUUAAAGCGUGCUGGGAAACCAGAGGGCUUCCAAGGCGGCUUUUGAAACCCUUUUGUCUCCUGCAGCUGCAGGGCAAACAAGGAAGAAAAUCAUGUCCAGGAUCUCGUGGUCUGGGGGGCAAAUCUACAAACAACACAAAAUGCAGAGCCUCCACAUGUUGGAUGUCAGAGGGAGGGCUCUGGGAGGGACCUGUAAGGAGGAACUGUGAGGAGGACAUCCGAGUAGACAGGCCUGAUAGAGGUGAAUGUGCAAAUGUCCCUGCCCCUCCUGGCUUGCAGAAUCAGCCUGCCUCCCUUCCUAGAGCAGAAAGACUCCUACUCAUCCUGAGACAAGCAAUGCUCUCAUCUGAGGUCUUACGGGACGAUACUUGUCCUCCAGAUCUGCCGCAUUGUCUCCAGGCUGACAAUCACGGUUGACAUCUCAGAACGAUCUGGCCAGGGGGAUGUUUGAUCUACAGGGAUUGCUGGUGAUGGGUGGUCAUGACCUUCCUAGGAGUGAGAUGGAUGGAUAGCUGGUAGACUGUCGGAUUCUCUCUCACUUGAUCUAACUGUAUUCAUAUACAGAAGGAAGGGCCAGUGUCCCUGUGGCCCAGAGAAAGAAAAGAUUUGUCACCAGUCCAGGCUGAAGUGAAAGCUAAUCUGCCUCUCAGGCCAUAGGACUAAUCUGGUUGGAAGGUUCUAAAUGUGUCUGUGGGUAAGAAUAUUGUGUAGCACCUCUUAAAAGUCUCAUGAGAAGAAUCAUAAUACGGAUCCUGAAGAUUCUGGGAUAAAGUCAUAGCUUUUGUAGGAGAGAACAAGUCGCACUUAGAAAAAUAGCAUGAUGCUGAUCACACAUAAACAUUUAGUCCUCAUCGUGGAACACCGAGUGACCAUGAGACAGAACUGCGCGUCAUGAGCUGAGAGCCAUCGGAUCCAAGUCGAAGGCCACGUGGGUGUGACAACAAUCCAUUCCAAAAUGGAAAGGAGACAUUCCAGGAUUAGACUGAAGUCAGCCCAGAACCCUUGAGUAAAUUACAGAGACAAGUGGCCCUGGUUCGCUUCCCCUAACCCUGUUGUGCCAGCAUCUUUCCUUUAACCUGCAUUUCUGGCAUCGCUGGGGAACCCUACGGCCGACUGAGAGAGGCAGAAAGGACUCGGGUGUGGCUGGUGUGAUAUGUUGGUUCUGGCCAGGAGCAAACCUCUGCUGUAUGGUCGAAAACCCCCACUCAAGGCUGCCCUGGACAGCAAGUGGUUAAAAGAAAGCUUCCCAUGGGCAGAUUUCAGAGCAUACACCAACGCUAGUGAAGAAGUGGCCUGCGGAAAGGGUAUAUACGGAUUCCCGAGCAGUGGAAAGUGACUGGAUGAGAUGAGACCCCCAUCUCAUACAACGUUUUCUAGAGCCAGGCAGACACUGAAUGGUGCUCAGCUUCCCUGAGUUGUCCACUGUUUUUGCCGUGGGGCAGUGAAGCCAUGGUGGCAAUGAUGGAAACUAAGCAUGGAUCCAAACCCACGGGCUCCUCUCACCAAGGCUGGCCUAGCUGCUGCCGCUACUGAAUUCCCUCCUUCCGGGAUCAGAGAGUGAUGCUGAGUCUUUGAUCCAGCCUCAACUAGGAAGGCCUGCAGGUCCGCCGGCGCCAGGUAAGUCACAUCCCACCCCGUCCACCUGAGUAAAAGCAGCAACUCACACCUGCCUAAGAUGAUGCCCUGGAAACAGGUUCGCCUUCCUGCCCACGCUACCUCUGUCAGCACUGCUGUCUAAAGGACCUGCAGAAUGUCUGCUCUACUCACACAGAGGUGACUUUCCCUCAGAGCAAAGGACGCAUUUUACAGCAAAGGAAGUAGAGUAACAGUCUCUCGACUAUAUAGUGCACUAGUUUUACAAUGUGGUCUGUCACUCAGAAACAACAAACUUGACGGAACAACGGAAUGGCAGAUAGAAGUCUCUGCUAAGGCGCCAGUAAAAGGACAAUAACCGUGGGCUUGGUCCUUCAUGGUGUAAUUGAUCAGAUGGAUGGAUAGACAGAUAUCCCAUAUGGUGCUGGAUUAACCCUGUUCCACCGUCAAUCCAAGUGACCCACAAGUAGAAUUGUAGAGUUUGAGUUUCUCAUCCCCACAAACUUAAUCUCUGCUAAUUUAGAGGUCUUAGGUCUCAGGGCCACAAGUUUCACUGAACUGGGGGCUACAAUGGCCACCUGGCCCCAAUGGGCUCCAUAUGUCAGUGAACCUACAGGGGACAAGAGAAGGACUUUUAAAAGAAUUGACUCAUGCAAUUGUGGAGAUACAAGCUCAAAAUCUGCAGCAGGACAGCCUGACAGGGUGGAGAUCCAGGGAAGAAUUGCAACCUGAGUCCAAAGGCAGUCUAUUGGCAAAAUUCCUUUUUCAUCAGAGGGUGUCUUUCAUUUUCUUUUAAGAACUUCAACUGAUUGGAUGAGGCCCUCCUCCCCUCCGCCCCCCGCACUAUGGAGGGUAGUAAGUUUUAUUCAAAGUCUACUCAUUUAAAUGUUAAUCUCAUCUAAAAAAUGCCUUCCUGAAAGCACUUGAAUAAUGUUUGACCAAAUAUUUGGGUACCAUGACCUAGCCAAAUGAAAUAGAAUUAACCAUCACAAAGAGUAAGUAAAUACUCAAACACAUUUAAAUGGAUUAUAAAGUUGUCUCUUUGCAUUGAGAUGGUGAAUGUAUUUAUUGAGUCUGGAACAUAAAUGCUUUGACUUGGUUGUUUAAGGCUAUACUUAAUAUACAUCAGAGUGAUUUGUUCUUUGUGAACCCCAAAGCAGGGUCUGGCUCUAAGAAUGGUCAAUGAAUGCCUUAAAGUUUUGUGAUGCGUUGGGAUUUGAAGGUGGUCAAUUUGUCCUGGUUUUCCCAGGACGUUUUCAGUUUUGGUGCUAAAACCGCACUUCCUCAGAGACUCCCCAGGACACCAGUCCCCAUAGUGUGCUGGGCUUAAAACUCCCUUACUUCCCAGAAGGAAGAAGGACUUAGGAGAGGCUUGUGCUGGCCACAAAAUAAUUGGUAUCUGACAGUGUGUGAGUUACUUUACGAUGCUUCCCACUUCCUCCUUAGAAAGGGGACCAGCAGUGGGACGUUGCCUCUGGGUGACUUAAUCAUUUAUGGGCCUAACUGGUGUUGUCACGAAGGAUAGUCUCUCAUCCAAAGGUUUUGCUUCUGUGGCUCUGAGGGCCUCUCUAAGGAGGUGGCUGCCCAGGUGGUGGGCAUUAAACUGGACCUGUGAUUGGUCCUGCCCUCCCCUAGGUCAUAGGGGCCCCAGUGACCCACAGCAGUGGGUCCGUCGGGGGGCCAGAGCCUUGCUGCACAGACACAUCAUUCCACCUUGGCAAAGACACACUCUGUCACCCACCUAUGGCACUUGACUGCUUCCCCGCUCUAUGGGCUUGAAUGGUUUGUAGAACAAUGUUCAAGAUUCUAAAAAUUACGCAUUCCUCUGUCCCCCUGCCUUGCUUACAUUUUAGGGCUGGGAAUUUGCAUGGUUAGGUUCCAGUUCCAGCUCUGCUGUUUUCUAGCUUUGGAAUGUGAUAAGGAGAUUGAAGCUACUCGAGCCUCUGUUUCCAAGGGUGUAACACGAGUGUAAUAAUACCGACCUUUCGGGGGCCAUGAGGAUUAAAGGAGGCAGAGAACAUGAAGUGCCAGCUCGUAGCUGCUUCAUAAAUGUGCACUGGCGCUUCCUCAGUCCGCCGCGAAAUGUUAAAGAAUAACAGAUGUAACCCAGCAAAACUUUGACCAAUUCAGCAAGUUCACUAUGAAGUAAGUCAUACUCCUUGUAGCUUGGAAUACAGCUUCUUUAUAAACAAUCUUCUGUCAGUUUCUGGUUCCUUUUCCUGGGGCUCUCUGUCCUUAAUUCUAUAUUGAUAUACUAUAUAUCUAUCUAUAUCAAUAUACUAUAUUGAUACUCUAUUUUGAUUUAUUGUUUGAUUUAUUGUUUAUCAAACAAUUUAUUGAUACUCUACAAUUUAUUGAUACUCUAUUUAUUGCCUGAUUGAUACUCUAUCAAUCAGGCAAUAAAUGGUUGCUUCUGAUAGAAAUUCAUCCGCAAGUUGCUUAAGGGGGAAAAGAAAGGGACUAGUUCCCUAGGUUAAGUGGGAGGUCCAGGGGUCGGGGGUCCAGGACUUUGGACACAUCUGGACCCAGGGAUACAUGUUGUCUUUAUUCAGUAACAUCUUCUGUAGAUAGGAGAAGAGGCCACUGCAAAUUCCAGGCUUCCGUGGUCCUUACCACUCACCAUUCCCGAGAGAGAGAGAGAGAGCGAGCCAGAGAGAGUGAGUGCCCUGCCUGGGGUCCCACCAUGGGUCCAAGAGCCUAGGUCGCUCUGAGGAAUAGAACAUUGUUGGAGGGUGACUUCUGUGUUCUUCACAACAAAGCCCCCAGGGAAGCGGGAAUCUCGCAGCCAGUCUGGAUAGUUCUGCCCUGCCCCCUUCCGCGGCUGUUAUAAAACCCACUUAGAGAAUUUGAGUUAGCUAUAUAUUCGAACUUAAAAUAUACCUAGGAACAAGGCAGACUCUCCAGUUUAUAUAAAGACCAAAGCCUCAGGGUGAGAAACCAGGCAUGUCAGCUGAGCUAUCGAGUAAACUCAGGUGAACAAACAAGGCAGAAACAAUAGCCCUUCCCGAGCUGAGUUUACACAAUGCAGGUACUCAGUGAAGGGGAAAAACUGUCCAGACGGGAGGCCUCUCUAGGAUCCUUCCUCUGUGCUGGACUUGCCAACGCAUUCUGGGUGGUAACCUGACCUUGAGUUUUGCACAGACAUCAUCUACAAGAGUUCAUUACCCCCCACCAGACAACAUUUACGCCAUUGGUUAUCUCCAAAGAAAAGAGCAGCACGGGAUUGGAGGCUGCCCUCAAUGGAGUUAAGGAGGCCAGAAGGGCAGCCAGCGACACCACCUUCCGAGCUCGGUCAGGAUUGCCAGAGGAGACAACGAAGUCACUGUAGCUCUUACUACUUGGCCAUUUGCCUUAAAUAGAGUGUUAGAUUCCCUAUCUGGGGAUUCUGCCCUUUGCUGGAAAGACGAGUUGACUGGGUGAUCUAAUGGUUUUCUCUCCCUUUGCCAACCACUCUAUGAAAUCCAUUCUUCUCGUUAUUGAGCAAUGCCCAGUGGCUCUUUCUGGACACGGCACAGGAAGCUGCAAAUGGACAGGGAAGAGAGACUUCUGCUAUGAUUUUUGCUUUUAUUUUAGUUUAAACAUUCUUAGAGGAUAGCCCAGGUUAAGCCAGACAUCCUGUUUACAAUGGGGCAGUAUUGCGGAGUGUGGGCGGGAAGAGGACAAUGCGCUCAGUCAGCUUCCUGCUCCACCGACAGGGCCACACACAAGCUUCCCCACCCCGGACUGCAGACUGAAUGCCGCUGAAAAGGGGGUUUGACUAGCUCUUUGGUACAUGGAUCUCCGUGUUUAUGGGAAUGAAUGUUAUUUUGUGUAAUAAAUGAUUAUGAAUUAUUUAUAUCACAACAGUCCUUGCUAAAGAUGACUACUUCUCUUGUGAUUUCCUUGUGAAUUUUUCUACCCCUUGUCACAAAUAAGGAUGGGAAUACGAGGCCUUGCCUUUAUACACGAAAUCAAUGGGAUUUUUAGAGAAACUUCUCUGGAGUGAACCAGCCAGCCAACCAACCACUAAGCAGCAGUGACUCUGGCAUUUCCCCAAAGAGAGAACUUAGAAGUGGCAGCUAAUUUGGAAGGGACAGCCAGAGGCCUUGUCUGGAAGGUGCGUGUGCGUACGGAGGUCGCCGUCUUUCUUUAGAUGACACAUGUCGGCAGGUGACACGGCUAGGGCUGCGGCGAGGCAGGAGAUGCCGGCUACCUUGGCAUUCCCGCACGGGGCAGACUUGACAAACCUAAACAAAUAAAGUGCAAACAAAGGUUUUAUCUCCCUUGACCAAAUUCCUGGCUCAGAUCUCACCUAGAUAGGAACCUAACACUGUCACCAUUCAGGUACUCAGGUUAAGCAGAGCCAAGAACAAAUCCCGGUGUCUCUGGACCUAAGUAUUACUGCUCCCUCCCUUCCUCCCCUGCUCCCGCACCCAUCCUGCUGCGCACCGCUGCCUGACACCUUGGCCAGGCCAUCGAGCAAGUCAGGAGGGUCUAAUUUAUUGGUUCUGUAAAGCCUGUGACAUCGCAGGGGCAAGACCGUUACACAAUCCCAAAUGACAAAAGCCUAAGAAAACCAGGUCUGUGUCUCCGCGAGUCGGCGUCCCCACAGCGCCCUCUGGUGUCGACGGGCGGUCCAGCCGCCAAACCGAGGCGAAGAAGAGCUUCGCAACUUGGCCAACCGCGAAAGAUUUAUGUAGUAGGACUGACUGUCCUUAGAAGAGCACUUUUUCGUUAAAAACCGUGUUGUUCCUAGCGCGUCACACUGUCCCCCUUUCCUCCAACCUAGCAUAAAAGUACGCAGGAGUUUGGUAGUCCACACAGAAAGAUGAAGGCAGGCAGCAGCCCAACAGGUAAGACAUUUCUCGCGCUCAUCAGCAACGAUGAGAGAAGUCAAACAAUUCUUAAGAGAAAGAAAAUGGCAAACCCAUCAUUUUUAAGACUUAGCUCAUUAUUUUUGCUCAGUGGAGCGACAUACAUAGGUUUGCCGUCUGUGGGUCUAUGUAGGUGCCUCACUUAGUUUAGCUUACUUUAGUGGCUUUUGGGCUGCACAGUCCUCAGUAAUUUCAAUCUACGGAAGAAAGGAGGAUUUAUCCUUCUCAUGACAGUUUUUGCACAAAUCACUUGUUUGUUACAGGUGGUUAUUUGCU